UACGGAGGGUGCAAGCGUUGUUCGGAAUCAUUGGGCGUAAAGCGCGUGUAGGCGGCUUGGUAAGUCGGGUGUGAAAUCCCGGGCCCAACCCCGGAACUGCAUUCGAAACUGCCUCGCUAGAGUCCGGAGAGGAAGGCGGAAUUCCCGGUGUAGAGGUGAAAUUCGUAGAUAUCGGGAGGAACACCAGCGGCGAAGGCGGCCUUCUGGACGGUGACUGACGCUGAGACGCGAAAGCGUGGGAGCAACA
rnacentral:rRNA from 1 species